GAUGAACGCUGGCGGCGUGCCUAAUACAUGCAAGUCGAGCGAACGGACGAGAAGCUUGCUUCUCUGACGUUAGCGGCGGACGGGUGUGUAACACGUGGAUAACCUACCUAUAAGACUGGGAUAACUUCGGGAAACCGGAGCUAAUAGCGGAUAAUAUUUUGAACCGCAUGGUUGAAAAGUGAAAGACGGUCUUGCUGUCACUUAUAGAUGGUUCCGCGCUGCAUUAGCUAGUUGGUAAGGUAACGGCUUACCAAGGCAACGAUGCAUAGCCGACCUGAGAGGGUGAUCAGCCACACUGAGACUGAGACACGGUCCAGACUCCUACGGGAGCCGGCAGUAGGGAAUCGGGCGCAAUGAGCGGAGGCCUGACCGAGCAGCGCCGCGUGAGUGAUGAAGGUCUUCGGGUCGUAAAACUCUGUUAUUGGGGAAGAACAUAUUUGUAAGUAACUGUGCACAUCUUGACGGUACCUAAUCAGAGAGCCACGGCUAACUACGUG
rnacentral:rRNA from 1 species